rnacentral:lncRNA from 1 species
CCCGCCGACGCCACGAGGAAUCUGUCCCAGCAGUGCCUGAACGCGCUCGCACCGGUGCUGCCGGGUCUCAUCGGCGGCAGCGCCGACCUCGCCUCCUCCAACAUGACGCUGCUCAAGGCGUACGGCGACUUCCAAAAGGACACGCCGGAGGAGCGGAACGUGAGGUUCGGCGUCCGCGAGCACGGCAUGGGGGCCAUCUGCAACGGCAUCGCGCUCCACAGCCCCGGGUUCGUCCCCUACUGCGCCACCUUCUUCGUCUUCACCGACUACAUGCGCGCCGCCAUGAGGAUCUCCGCCCUGUGCGAGGCGGGGGUCAUCUACGUGAUGACCCACGACUCCAUCGGGCUCGGGGAGGACGGGCCGACCCACCAGCCGAUCGAGCACCUGGUGAGCUUCCGCGCCAUGCCCAACAUCCUCAUGCUCCGCCCCGCCGACGGCAACGAGACGGCCGGCGCCUACAAGGUGGCGGUGCUCAACCGGAAGAGGCCGUCGGUGCUGGCCCUCUCCCGGCAGAAGUUGGCCCAGCUGCCGGGGACCUCGAUCGAGGGCGUGGAGAAGGGAGGCUACAUCGUCUCCGACAAUUCGACGGGCAACAAGCCGGACCUGAUCCUGCUGGGGACCGGCUCCGAGCUGGAGAUCGCAGAGAAGGCCGCCGGCGAGCUGAGGAAGGAG